GUCCUUGUAGUGUAGUGGUUAUCACGUCUGCUUUACACGCAGAAGGCCCCUGGUUCAAUCCCAGGCAAGGACA
rfam:Trichuris muris Edinburgh genomic scaffold, scaffold126